AGAGUUUGAUCCUGGCUCAGGACGAACGCUGGCGGCGUGCCUAAUACAUGCAAGUAGAACGCUGAAGAGAGGAGCUUGCUCUUCUUGGAUGAGUUGCGAACGGGUGAGUAACGCGUAGGUAACCUGCCUUGUAGCGGGGGAUAACUAUUGGAAACGAUAGCUAAUACCGCAUAACAAUGGAUGACACAUGUCAUUUAUUUGAAAGGGGCAAUUGCUCCACUACAAGAUGGACCUGCGUUGUAUUAGCUAGUAGGUGAGGUAACGGCUCACCUAGGCGACGAUACAUAGCCGACCUGAGAGGGUGAUCGGCCACACUGGGACUGAGACACGGCCCAGACUCCUACGGGAGGCAGCAGUAGGGAAUCUUCGGCAAUGGGGGCAACCCUGACCGAGCAACGCCGCGUGAGUGAAGAAGGUUUUCGGAUCGUAAAGCUCUGUUGUAAGUCAAGAACGAGUGUGAGAGUGGAAAGUUCACACUGUGACGGUAGCUUACCAGAAAGGGACGGCUAACUACGUGCCAGCAGCCGCGGUAAUACGUAGGUCCCGAGCGUUGUCCGGAUUUAUUGGGCGUAAAGCGAGCGCAGGCGGUUUGAUAAGUCUGAAGUUAAAGGCUGUGGCUCAACCAUAGUUCGCUUUGGAAACUGUCAAACUUGAGUGCAGAAGGGGAGAGUGGAAUUCCAUGUGUAGCGGUGAAAUGCGUAGAUAUAUGGAGGAACACCGGUGGCGAAAGCGGCUCUCUGGUCUGUAACUGACGCUGAGGCUCGAAAGCGUGGGGAGCGAACAGGAUUAGAUACCCUGGUAGUCCACGCCGUAAACGAUGAGUGCUAGGUGUUGGAUCCUUUCCGGGAUUCAGUGCCGCAGCUAACGCAUUAAGCACUCCGCCUGGGGAGUACGACCGCAAGGUUGAAACUCAAAGGAAUUGACGGGGGCCCGCACAAGCGGUGGAGCAUGUGGUUUAAUUCGAAGCAACGCGAGGAACCUUACCAGGUCUUGACAUCCCGAUGCUAUUUCUAGAGAUAGAAAGUUACUUCGGUACAUCGGUGACAGGUGGUGCAUGGUUGUCGUCAGCUCGUGUCGUGAGAUGUUGGGUUAAGUCCCGCAACGAGCGCAACCCCUAUUGUUAGUUGCCAUCAUUCAGUUGGGCACUCUAGCGAGACUGCCGGUAAUAAACCGGAGGAAGGUGGGGAUGACGUCAAAUCAUCAUGCCCCUUAUGACCUGGGCUACACACGUGCUACAAUGGUUGGUACAACGAGUUGCGAGUCGGUGACGGCAAGCUAAUCUCUUAAAGCCAAUCUCAGUUCGGAUUGUAGGCUGCAGCUCGCCUACAUGAAGUCGGAAUCGCUAGUAAUCGCGGAUCAGCACGCCGCGGUGAAUACGUUCCCGGGCCUUGUACACACCGCCCGUCACACCACGAGAGUUUGUAACACCCGAAGUCGGUGAGGUAACCUUUUGGAGCCAGCCGCCUAAGGUGGGAUAGAUGAUUGGGGUGAAGUCGUAACAAGGUAACCAAGGGCGAAUUCCACAUU
rnacentral:rRNA from 1 species